AGUUGCGAAAAAAGCACAAGAGAGAAUGCGGGGGCCGAAACAUCAGGGCAAGAGAAGAAAGAAGGUAAAAGAAAGAGAACAGUGAGCUUCGCGGAAAAUCUAGAGCAAGUCCGCAUCUAUGAGGUUGAUACUAACAAGAGAUUGAGGCCUGUUCCUAAGAGAAAGAGAAGAAUGAAGAGAAGAUCCUGUUGCCGCCCCCGGUGAAGGAUGUGCUGACCUCUGAUAUCUAGACCAUUCCAGGGCAAGAGCAGAAGGAAAGAAAAAGAAAGGGGACAGUGACCUUUGUGGACAACAUAGAGCAAGUCCGUGUAUAUGAGGUGGAUACCAGCAAGAGACUGAGGCCUGUUCCAAAAAAAGAGAAAAGAAUGAAGAGAAGAUCCUGUUGCCGGACCCGCUGAAGGAUGUGCUCACCACCGAUAUCUAGACCAUUCCAGGUGGAGCCCUUAUGGAGCACCAUAUAAAUUAGUAUAAUGGUGGGACAUCACUGUCAUCUGCAUGUGCAGAGCGAUGCUUAGAUCCGGUGACCGGGAUCAGUAUGGGAUCGCCACGCCUUAGGUUUCUAUUACCCUCCUUAAGCCUCUGCCUCCCGCCGUCAUCCACUGCCGUGUGGCACAUUGUGAUCUUGGGUUGGAAUGGAGGAGGGGGCCUAAAAUAUAUUUCUGCACCUGGGCCCACCACUCACAAGUUCCGCCACUGCAUAUACUGCAAUAACAACUUGUGCUACACAGAGCAGAAUACAGUAUUACUGGUAAGACUACCACUUAGCUCCUUUGUAUUUUGCACUGCCUCAGUGAUGAAAGAUAAAGAUGCUCUCCACUACUAAUGAGAUAUUCAAGAGGUCUGCAUGACUAGAGAUAUAAUAG